GAUGAACGCUGGCGGCGUGCCUAAUACAUGCAAGUCGAGCGAACAGAUAAGGAGCUUGCUCCUUUGACGUUAGCGGCGGACGGGUGAGUAACACGUGGAUAACCUACCUAUAAGACUGGGAUAACUUCGGGAAACCGGAGCUAAUACCGGAUAACAUAUUGAACCGCAUGGCUCAAUAGUGAAAGGCGGCUUUGCUGUCACUUAUAGAUGGAUCCGCGCCGUAUUAGCUAGUUGGUAAGGUAACGGCUUACCAAGGCAACGAUACGUAGCCGACCUGAGAGGGUGAUCGGCCACACUGGAACUGAGACACGGUCCAGACUCCUACGGGAGGCAGCAGUAGGGAAUCUUCCGCAAUGGGCGAAAGCCUGACGGAGCAACGCCGCGUGAGUGAUGAAGGUCUUCGGAUCGUAAAACUCUGUUAUCAGGGAAGAACAAAUGUGUAAGUAACUGUGCACAUCUUGACGGUACCUGAUCAGAAAGCCACGGCUAACUACGUG
rnacentral:rRNA from 1 species